ensembl:lncRNA
GACAAAUUAAGCUUUUACAGGUUUGGAACGACAUGGGGGUAAGUGAUUAAUGACAAAAUUUUCAUUUUGCGGUGGAAUAACCCUUUAACCGGCCAAAUAAACACAAAAUGACGUCAAAAUAGCCAUCCGGAGGGGUAUUGCACAAAAGUAGAAUUAAGAAAGCCAGGAUAACAGAAAAGGCGCGGCUUGACCUAGUUCAAUCAGCACAUCCUGGCUUAGUCUGUUGCACAUUUGCUAAGCCAGGAUGAGAGCGUGCAGCUUUGUCAAGCCAAGUGUAGAUAGUUGGGAUAAGUGCACGUUCACGGCAUUCUGAUCGAUCACAGAAUCGAGAUCGAUCACAGAAUCAAUGAUGCAAAAAUGGAUAAAACCCGUACGGCAUACUUCUCGCCAACUGAGCAACAGCUUCUAAUGGAAACAUAUGAAGAGAACAAGCGUGUCUGGCCAAAAAAGGACCUGGCAGCAAGUACAAGAACAUUUUGCAGGCUGGUAAGUGACUUGAUGUGUGAAAAGAAAAAAAAAAAAAAGACAAAUUUGGUGAAUAGUGUCUGCUGCCAUAUUUUAUUGUCUGUGUUGAUUUUAGCAUUGAAAAAAAAGGCUCAUAUAUCUGGCACGGGGGGUGGCCCUCCAACCCAAGACUUGAUCACAGCAGAGGAGCUGGCCCUGGAGUUGAAUAAAGGGAAGCCAGUGAUGGAAGGGACACAGUGAGGGACAGCCACUGACUCUGGCUCAGCAAGAGAGACUGGCCUCUUCAUACAAGGUACAUUACUGCCGUACUACUGCACAUGGAAAACAAUCAAGUAUUUAGAUUUUGUUAUGUGGACUGUCUGACUUUGCCUUACCUUGCAGUGUCUGGUAACACACUUACACUUCUGGAGCCACCAGACUAUGAUCCGCUGGUGACUUCUCUUUAUUAAAAUCAUAGGCUUGGCACGUCCUGUCAAAACUAUCAAAUCAAGUUCUAUUGAAUAUGGCAGAGGGAAGGCACAUCUGCCGAUGAUGAGAUCGUGUCACUGGACUCCAGAAGGCUUGAGGUGUCAUGUCAAUUUUGUGUAAAGAAGAUAUUUUGAAGAUUGCUGGUAAUCAAACAGUUGGUGGCUCCUACUGACUUCCAUAGUAUUUUUUUCCCCCCUCUUUUAUGUUCAACAUAAGAAAGCAACUCAUACAGGUUUGGAUAGAACUUCAAAAGAAGAAUCAGAUGAUCCAGAACAUAUAAAGGUAUUUUGUUGUUUACUAAAAAUAUUUAUAAGGUUGUUGCCAUCCUCAAGAGUAGAACCAUUUUCAAAAUAUAUUUUAUUAUUCCUUUAUUCGAGUUGAAAGAGACUAACAAAUGGAACAUUUAUUUAGAAUAAGCCUAUAUAUACACUACAUAUUGACCUCGUCAUGGACUUAAAUGAAACCACAUUUGCAACUUCAUCAGCCAUUUCUUAUAAUCUCAACAACUGCAAUAAUAUAUGCAUUCAUCAAACCUCUAACAGCAAUAUGAACAGUCUUCAUAACAACACUAAAAUAGGGAUACUUAGAUGAAUGACAGUAUAUGUCGUAUUUUAAUGCAUGAUAAUUAAAAUGAUGCAACAUUUGCAGAAGACCAUGGAGUGACUGUAAAACAUUAAUUUCUAGAAGGAUUGACAGCAGAACUAACAGAUAAAUCACUAAGAUUAAUCUUAGCCUGGUUGUUAGCCUGCUCCGGAGCAGGCUAGCUGCAAAG